rnacentral:tRNA from 1 species
GCAUCCAUGUGGCUGGAAUGGUUAAAGCGCCCAACUCAUAAUUGGUAAAUUUGCGGGUUCAAUUCCUGCUGGAUGCA